UCCACCUCUUCCUCGUCGGUGGUGUGUCGACUCGAAGGACAGCCCCCGUGCUCUGACACACUCACACACACGCAGACAUACACCUCCGCGAUGUGUCACUACCAGUUCCACCUGCCUCUUCCCGUCAUUCCCCGCUUGCCGGUCCAUCUACCUACACUUGCUCUUCACCCCCCCCCCCCCCUUUUUUUUUUUUUGCUCUCUCUCAGUCUUUCUCUCCACCCCUCCUUGUCCUCAACCCCCCCUACGCUGUGUGUCACCGCUGCCGGGAAGAAAAGAAAAAUGCUCCGUCCGACGAAAGUGAGAGGAGCGAGGACAAAACACAGAAAAGAGUCAAAGAGGAGAAGGUAGUUCGAGCUGGAGCGUGUUUGGAGCGCAGCGAUGCCUCCAUCCACCAUGAGCCCGACUCUUCUUUGAUGGAAUAUCCCGGACGGCGGCAGGGCAGAGGGAAGGAGGAGAGCAAGAAGAAGAAGAAAAAGUAGAGGAGAAGGAGGACUGAAGGAAGACUGCAAGGACUGAGGAGGCAGGACAGCCAGCGCUCGCCUCAGGAGGCUCCAUCCAGUCCGGUCUCAUUGUCCUCACACACACACCUCGCCGCGGCCGAGCGUGUGAGCGCGCGCGUGUGUGCAUGUGUCUCUGCGAGGACGGGGGUGCAGCCGGUCAUUUCCACAGCAGAGCACAGCCGAGUGCCGGGUUCCACUCUGAGGUUGACGUGGAUGCGCUGCACCAGGUAGGCCCAUGCCCUUCACCUGUGCCUGCUUCUGUGGCCUGAAUGGCUUCUGCCGCAGACGGAAGAAGAAGAAAAAGGAGCAAGUGGAGGAAGAGGAGGGCGAGGAGGUGGAACAAUGCAGGGAUCAGGAGACGGAGGUGUGACAGCCGCGCUGUCAGCUGCGAUCUCCUCACCUUCUCGGGGGUUUUUAUCCUUUAAUAGCCUGGAAUGUACAGCCCCGGUUACUGGUGCUCAGUACUGUCUGAUACAUUAUCACAGGGAUUUAAAAGGGGCUUCAGCAAACACAGGCUUUUAGUGAAAAUUCAGAUUUAAUCGAGCAUUUUUGAGCCACACAUCCUUUCCGGUGGUUUACGUUCCGCUUAUUUUCCACUUCUCAAACUCGCCUAAACUCGACAAUCACAGCCCUGUCUUGAGCCAUAUUCCUCGGGAUGAAUCAGGAUUGAUGAAAAUAAAAGCCUGUGAACUCUGAGCUCAUCCCCAUUACCCGUCUCUGCAGCACUCUAAUUUUCCCUUGGCAGCUGACUGAGAACUUUGCUUCUGCUGAUGUGAUUCCAAAAAAAAAACAAAAAAAAAAAUUUCUUAUCCAUUUGAUUCAUGUCUCGCUGCUGUACUGUGUAAGGUGUGAAGAGAUGCUGAACCCUAGGAAUCCAUUAUUUCUCUCAGUCACACUCUCGGCGACGGCCCAUCUAAUCGCAGCUCCGCGGAGGCUGAACGGGGACCGAGGCUCUGCGCCUCCUCACCUGCCUGCUUAUGUCAGAUCAACUUAGCGAAAACUUCAGCCAAGUGAGAAAAAGUGUGCAGUAAUUUCCAAAGUCACCCACGGAGGGCUGGAGCCCAUCUCGGUGUUCACGCUGAGCUGGGCCCAAUCUAAAGCCGAGCAGCUGUCCAAUCAGCAGCUUAGCUGGAGUGUGAAGAUAGGAGUCAAGGGUCAGAAUGAGCAACAGGGUUUUGUGAGAAGUCCCUCCUCUGAUGCCGUAGCAUCUCGGUCUCAUUAAUAGGCGGCCAAGUAAUUACAAACAGGCACGCACACCGAUGCAGACCCAUCAAUUAAUGUCCCCCCGGCGGGAGUGGAGUGUCUGUCCGCAAAUGCCACUGUGGUGCGCUUCCAGCUGUCACCUGUGUGAGUGUGUGACUCUGAAGCUGUGCGCCUGCGUGCUUCUGUUUCUUCUCGACUGCAACAAUAGACUUUCAAACCCGAAACAAGUGGUUGAGAUAUCCAUUGAGGUGCUACAGAACUGCCUGUUCAGAGUGCGCAUCGAGACACAAAGACAAAGACGCGCACGCACACACAGGUCUCAUUAGCUUGUGUGAUUAUGCAUGGCACGUCCAGUCAGGCAGUGGAGAUGUAAUUAACCUUUUCCAGCAGGAAACAGAUGCCUGGAUGUCACGCGCAAACACGCACAAUGACAUACACGCGCGGACACACACACACACACACACACACACGUCUGCUGUCAGGGAGACAAAGCCAACGUCACGGUGUCACGGAAACAAAGCCCCAAAAGCGCCGCCUGGCACUCUGUGAUAAUCCCCUCACGCAUAUUUACAUUCAGGGCUUAGAAUGCGUCUCGGUGCCGGCGUCUCCGCCCCCCCCCCCACCCAGCCGCACUCCGCUCCCACCUCCCGCCUCCGCCCAUCCAUCCUCCCGGUCUUUCUCUGUCUACCUUUGGGCCUUCCACCUGUUUCACCCUUUUCCUUCCGUUGUCUCCUCUCCCCUGUCAUCUUUUACAUCUCAGCCAAAACCCUCUUCCUGGUCGGGUUCAUCUGUUUAUUAUCAGUGGAUAGUACAUGGCCUUGCAUGGCGGCUCCCAUAGAUUAGCCCCCGCUCGCUCCUUCUCUGACUCUGGAUAUCAGGGAUUUCUUCAGGCGGGCAGAAAGCUGCUUUACGACAGAUUAAUGGACGGCCCUGAUUGUGUCUGUCGGUGUGUGUCUGUGCCUGCGUGGAAAAGAUUGUCUGUUUACUCAUUCUCCCGCUACAGGCGGCGAAAUGAGACAAAGCUAAAACCAUUUCACAGUGUAGAGCACCUAUUAUGAUUCACUGUGUUACGAUGCAGCCCUAAUGAGAAAAAGAGAGAAUGAGAAGAGGGGCUGGUGGAGGAUAGGAGAGAAAGAGAGAAAAAGAUGGUAAUGAGAGCGAGAGUCGGAUAUGGAAGAGGGGGGCUAAUGCUAGACAGAGCAGUCAUGCUAAUUGGCUACAGUGGAUAACUUUCUGAGGCGGGGGAUGAGUGUGUGUGUGUGUGUGUGUGUGUGUGUGUGUGCCGUGGGGGGGCAGAGAAAAGAACGGCCUGAUCUGUCGGUGUUACACUCGUUUAACGCUCCCUCCAUUUCACCUCUUUAAUGAGAGGAAUAUUCGCUCCAGUAAUGGCGAAAGAUUUGAAAUUGGUAACGAUUUGUUGCUCACACACACAUACGGAGGUGGUAAACGUGAGGGGGGGGGCUCGAGGGUG